rnacentral:rRNA from 1 species
UAGGGAAUCUUCCACAAUGGGCGCAAGCCUGAUGGAGCAACACCGCGUGAGUGAAGAAGGGUUUCGGCUCGUAAAGCACUGUUGUAUGGGAAGAAAUGCUAGAAUAGGGAAUGAUUCUAGUUCGACGGUACCAUACCAGAAAGGGACGGCUAAAUACGUGUCAG